GGGCCACUAGCUCAAUUAGGCAGAGCAGCGGAUUCUUAAUCCGGAGGUUGCAGGUUCGAUUCCUGCGUGGCCCA
rnacentral:tRNA from 1 species